UACGGGGGGAGCAAGCGUUGUUCGGAUUUACUGGGCGUAAAGGGCGCGUAGGCGGCCUCUGCAAGUCGACUGUGAAAUCUCCGGGCUUAACCCGGAAAGGUCAGCCGAUACUGCAGGGCUAGAGUGCAGAAGGGGCAACUGGAAUUCUCGGUGUAGCGGUGAAAUGCGUAGAUAUCGAGAGGAACACCUGCGGCGAAGGCGGGUUGCUGGGCCAACACUGACGCUGAGGCGCGAAAGCUAGGGGAGCAAACGGG
rnacentral:rRNA from 1 species